GAACCUCUGCAAUCUAAUAUAUAAAUGCCUAUACUUUGUUAUGGAUUUUUUAGCAAGCAUAUCCUUUACCUCUAUUCAUAGAAACACAGGAUUCUAUUACUGGUACCAGCAUCCAGACGCAACAGCAGCAACACUGUGACAUGGAUGAGACAAUCAUGUUACAAAUGCAGCCAUUAAGCCAAGGAAUCAGCCACUCAGCACCUGCGAGUACACCACCACAGCAAAGCACUCCACCACCACAACACAGCCCAUCACCAGUAGCACAAGGCCCUGAUCACGUGUUUUGGGACAGUUGGGCUACACAGCAGGCCACUAAUCAAGAUUGCCUGCGUAGGCAGACCCAAAUUUUUGCUAACCUACCAGCUCACCUCAGAAGAAUCAGCAGAAAUAUCAGUCGCCAAAAUGAACCAACCACCAGAAUUGCCAAUACCAUGGAAAUCAUGCGUGCAGACAUUACAUAUGUCAUGGGCAACUUAUAACGCAUAAUGGAGGAACAGCACAGACAACAGCAAAGCUACAUCAACAUCUAAGAAAACAAUCAAAUGAUCAAUGAAUCUAUCACAAGAAUUUUAGAGAAUCAAAAUGCUGCAACACGUGAACUUAAUGCCACCCUCACUAACCUCAAUGAAACACUCAGAUCCCAGCACCAUCAGCAACCAAGCAGCAGUUCUGGUACGACUACUCCUAUUCUAUCGCCAGUGUCCUCACCACCAAGGCGCUCCACCAGAGUACGCCAACACGACAGUGGUGAAGCAAAGGCCAGUCCAAGCAGCCAACCACAAAACAAUAAAAAAUAGAUACACCGAUCUCUAUAUAGAGAAGUAAAUAAGCACAUUUAGUAAGUGUCGGUUUGUCACAAUAUCUAUUACACUUAACAACUUGGAAAUUUUUAGAACAUAAUUAAUUAUAAGUGUUACAAACAACAACAGGAUUUUGGCAAAAACAUUUAUUCUUUCACAUCUUAGAAAUUUUAAGAAUAAGGACAAAGUUAUUGGAUAUGCACAUUGAUGUUAGCAUGCAGUAACAAGCCCGCUUGAUUUUUUUCUAAUCAUUACUCUUUCUAGAUUCCAAUCAUUCUUAUAUCCUGCAGCCAGACUAAUUGGCAGCCAUGCAAAAUGUCUUUAGCAUGCAGUAACAAGACCACUUGAUUUUUUUCUAAUCAUUACUCUUUCUAGAUUCCAAUCAUUCUUAUAUCCUGCAGCCAGACUAAUUGGCAGCCAUGCAAAAUGUCUUUAGCAUGCAGUAACAAGACCACUUGAUUUUUUUCUAAUCAUUACUCUUUCUAGAUUCCAAUCAUUCUUAUAUCCUGCAGCCAGACUAAUUGGCAGCCAUGCAAAAUGUCUUUAGCAUGCAGUAACAAGACCACUUGAUUUUUUUUCUAAUCAUUACUCUUUCUAGAUUCCAAUCAAUCUUAUAUCUUGCAGCCAGACUAAUUGGCAGCCAUGCAGAUUCAUCCAUGAACAAUACAAAUUACAAUGUGAUUGUUAACUAUUUUACCUUUCUUCUCUAUACAACAUUACAAGAAUAACAGAAUUGAGUUGCCUAAAAAGGUCCUAAUAUGUUGUGAUUGAAUUUAGAUAAUUCAGUGCCAAAAUGAAUGUCAUUAUUGUUGGGCCAUGUUUGUGUGUGUUAAAAAUGAGUAAUCAGUUUCUUACACAUGAUGCAGAAACAAAGAAAUGUAUAUUUUUUUUAAAUAAUCACAAAUAAUGUGUAUAAUAAUGGAUAUAUGUGGCAAACUGUGUAUUGACUUACAAAUCAGCAAGUUUACUGCAGCAAACAUUACAAAAUAAAUUAUUUUGGAUGAGA